rnacentral:rRNA from 1 species
GUGAUAACUUCCAAAUUCAGAGAAACCCUGGAAUUAAAAAUGGGCAAUC